rnacentral:rRNA from 1 species
GGGUUGUGAGGUUAAGCGACUAAGCGUACACGGUGGAUGCCCUGGCAGUCAGAGGCGAUGAAGGACGUGCUAAUCUGCGAUAAGCGUCGGUGAGGUGAUAUGAACCGUUAUAACCGGCGAUUUCCGAAUGGGGAAACCCAGUGUGUUUCGACACACUAUCAUUAACUGAAUCCAUAGGUUAAUGAGGCGAACCGGGGGAACUGAAACAUCUAAGUACCCCGAGGAAAAGAAAUCAACCGAGAUUCCCCCAGUAGCGGCGAGCGAACGGGGAGGAGCCCAGAGCCUGAAUCAGUGAGUGUGUUAGUGGAAGCGUCUGGAAAGGCGCGCGAUACAGGGUGACAGCCCCGUACACAAAAAUGCACAU